GUGGAAUCCCUUCAUCGAACGAGGAAUGUUUUCCAUUUGGUUGAAGUAUGGAAGACUGAUUGUGAAAUGUUUGUUCCAUUACUUUUUGGUGGUAUAUUACGUGACAGUCAGCAUGCUAACUGCUCUUCAACACAAUCACGUACUAUAAUAUAUGUGGAUUGAAAGGUACAGUAUGGCAACAAUAACAGUAUUUUGACUUUGACUACAUGUAAAUGUGUAGAUGUUAGUAAUACUGUUAAGCAUUAGCUUCAUUUAGGCCAAUAAUUUCUAUGUUAAUUAUUUGCAUAACAAUUAAUCCAAUUUUUAAUCUCAUACAAAAUUUAGGUCAGGAGCAUUUAAAAAUUGUUGAAUUCUGUCAGUGUAUUAAGGAUGCUGAAAAACUAAUUAAACUCCAGCUGUGGCCAGGCUCAUCUUCUAAACCCAAAAUUGCAUUUCACUUUGACUACAUGGAUUUUGCUGAAAAAUUCUUGCUCGAGAGCCAUGUAUCCUUGCACAAAUUUUGCAGCACUGUUGAAGUUGAAUAUCCUGAAAUGCUACCUAGAGUGGUCAAAAACAUAUAAAAUGUGUUUAACAAUGGAUCAUUCGAUGAAUACAGACUGGUGAGUUAGGUGUGGCCAUU